rnacentral:misc_RNA from 1 species
CUCGUACUACUUAUCGGUACCAGCUUCAGGCGUCUGACCGAACCUAGAAUCGACUUGCGGUUCAUUCAUUCUUCCAGUCUUUAUUGUUUGUGUCAGAAUGUCACGAAUUUUCUGUGUAUCGUGGUCUUAUGCUCAAGAUAUCAGCUGGAUAUUCCUCAUUGUUUCAUCGACACUGAGGAGACACUGAGGUCUGCGUCCUCCUGCGAGAUUCACGAAGCGAUAUUAACGAUAAAGCCGUUGGUGAAAUUUACGAGUCACGAAAAGUAUAAAACAGCGUGUCACUAUAAAACCGGAGGCACUAUUACCGAUAAAACGACGACGUCAACCGAUGGGGCCAGGCCGAAUCGUGAGCGAAUCGUGGGUAAUCCAAGCAAUUUUGUCGUCUAAACGGAUACAAAUAGAACAGCGAUAAUGCAGUGACACGGUUUUGUAUCGGCUGUUCUGUAUCUUCAUGAUUUAAUGGACGUCGAAGUCGGUGCUGCACAGGUAACGGGUGUUUUACGGUAAUAUUAUACAGAGCCAUGCACUCCCAUAGACGCAACGGCAUUGUGCCCGAAUCUGUGAAAAUAGGCUUCCUAACUCUGCUCUGGAACCAUUUUCGAACAAAAGUUAUUGGGACAGGACGAGGACAAAAAGAAGGCUGCUCAAAGUUCCUGGAACGCGUUAAAAGCGGUAGCCUGUAAUCCGACUUUCGGGGAUCGUUCAGAAGAGUAAAACGACACACGCGUGUACUCCGACGGAAUUUCCAUAAUUAGUGGGUGGCAAAGGUACAACUAUUAGCACGCGAAAGUUGGCAAGUUGCUAACUGAUUUGCAUCGAAACGUGGGCCACAUCGUAUCAACAUCGGGCUCGUUCUACUUUCGUUAUUACUUCAUCAGAGCGUGCUUUCCUUGGCUGCGUCGAAUGGAC